rnacentral:rRNA from 1 species
AUUGAACGCUGGCGGCAUGCCUUACACAUGCAAGUCGAACGGCAGCACGGGGGCAACCCUGGUGGCGAGUGGCGAACGGGUGAGUAAUACAUCGGAACGUACCCGGAAGUGGGGGAUAACGUAGCGAAAGUUACGCUAAUACCGCAUAUUCUGUGAGCAGGAAAGAGGGGGAUCGCAAGACCUCUCGCUUUCGGAGCGGCCGAUGUCGGAUUAGCUAGUUGGUGGGGUAAAAGCCUACCAAGGCGACGAUCCGUAGCUGGUCUUAGAGGAUGAGCAGCCACACUGGGACUGAGACACGGCCCAGACUCCUACGGGAGGCAGCAGUGGGGAAUUUUGGACAAUGGGGGCAACCCUGAUCCAGCCAUGCCGCGUGAGUGAAGAAGGCCUUCGGGUUGUAAAGCUCUUUCGGACAGAAAGAAAUCGCACAGGAUAAUACCUUGUGUGGAUGACGGUACUGUCAUAAGAAGCACCGGCUAACUACGUGCCAGCAGCCGCCGUAACAC